rnacentral:rRNA from 1 species
AUACGGAGGAUCCGAGCGUUAUCCGGAUUUAUUGGGUUUAAAGGGUGCGCAGGCGGCCAUUUAAGUCAGCGGUUAAAUCGUGGGGCUCAACCCCAUUCUGCCGUUGAUACUGGGUGGCUUGAUUGCGGUCGAGGUUGGCGGAAUUCGUUGUGUAGCGGUGAAAUGCAUAGAUAUGACGAAGAACACCGAUUGCGUAGGCAGCUGACCAGACCGCAAAUGACGCUCAUGCACGAAAGUGCGGGGAUCGAACAGGAUUAGAUACCCUGGUAGUCCACACAGUAAACGAUGAAUACUCGCUGUUUGCGAUACACUGUAAGCGGCCAAGCGAAAGCGUUAAGUAUUCCACCUGGGGAGUACGCCGGCAACGGUGAAACUUAAAGGAAUCGACGGGG